ACUAUUUCAGUUGGUGAGAUUUGAUUAAGUAUUAUUGGUUGCAGUUAAGUAUUUUACAUAUUCUUCAUUUUGGAAGUUCUAUUUUAUUAAAAAGGAGAUGGUAGCUGUAACAGUUGGAAUAACCUAGAGUUUCCUCACCUGCCUCCUACAUAACUCCAUUAGUGCACAAUAUAAUGAUUCAACAAUUCUAUACAUUACUCCGUGUUCAUCACAGUUACUCAUUCUAGAAUGCACUUAUUGAUC
rnacentral:lncRNA from 1 species